GUGAAUCAUCAAAUUUUUGAACGCAAAUUGCACUCUCUUCGGAGAGUAUGACUGUUUGAGGGUCAGACUAAAAAAAAUCGACAUAUUUGUUGUUACGCGGUAAUAUUCGUCGGAUAUUGGGUCAUCUUAAACCUUUGGGUAUAAGCGGCUUUACAUUUUCUUUACGAAUCCAAGAAUGUUUAUAAGAAUUUAUUUUCUUAUACGUAUAA
rnacentral:misc_RNA from 1 species